AUUGAACGCUGGCGGCAUGCUUUACACAUGCAAGUCGAACGGUAACAGGCCGCAAGGUGCUGACGAGUGGCGAACGGGUGAGUAAUGCAUCGGAACGUGCCCAGUCGUGGGGGUUAACUACUCUAAAGGGAACUUAAUACCCCACAGGAUCGGUGCUUCAACUGGGGGGACGGUAAGGCAUCGCUCCGUUGGAUGGGCCUAUGUCAGAUUAGUUAGUUGGUGGGGUAAAGGCUCACCAAGCCAACGAUCUGUAGCUGUUCUGAGAGGACGACAGGCCACACUGGGACUGAGACACGGCCCAGACUCCUACGGGAGGCAGCAGUGGGGAAUUUUGGACAAUGGGCGCAAGCCUGAUCCAGCAAUGCCGCGUGCAGGAAGAAGGCCUUCGGGUUGUAAACUGCUUUUGUACGGAACGAAACGGCUCUGGUUAAUACCCGGGGCUAAUGACGGUACCGUAAGAAUAAGCACCGGCUAACUACGUG
rnacentral:rRNA from 1 species